AUGUCCCCUUGAGUUCCCUUUAACGCUUCAUUGUUCAUACUUGGUUGUCUGAUAUCUACCGAUAAAUCAAUCUAAUGUACACUGAAGUGUUUGGGGGGGACUCUAGGUGGUAU
rnacentral:pre_miRNA from 1 species